CACGUAUAUAUCUAUCUCCUACUGGUUCUGUUCCUCUGGAGAAACCUAAUACACUCCUCUUAUAAGGACACCCAUUCAUAUGAUCUCAUUUAAUGUUUAUUAUUUCCUUAUAUGUGUAUCUCCAAAUACAGUCACAUUGGAGGUUAGGAUUUCAACUUAUGAAUUUUGAGGGGACCCAAUUCAGUUCGUGGCAACAUGGUUCCACAUAUGUUGGCACCAACCAGAAGUAGACUGCUGUAGCUUUACAAUACAAUCUGGAGCAUCUCUGAAAGAUAAUGGUGCAAGAGGUUCAAGUGGGUAGAACUUCAAGCAGUCCACUUGGUCUGGAUGGAGAGUUGUCCAGAAGGACAGCUAUACAGUAACUCCUGGUCAGUAGAUAGCAGUUUGGCUGCAUGGGUCGCCCAGGGAUUUGGAAAGAACAGGACUGGAAGAUUAGUGACAAGUAGAUCUGGAAAAGAGGAAUGUAGAUGGUCUUUUGGAAUGAGCGCUGAAUGUGAAGAUGUAUUCCAUGUAAAAGCUUACAAAGGGACAUUCACUGUAGAGGGGCCUCUCAGUUAUCAGAAGGACAAAAUGAUACAUUCCAUGGAUGUCAAUCAGCCUCUGUCUUGUCCCAGUCGUCCUAGUGCUUGCUCAAUGAACCCAUUUAAAAGCAGCCAUGGUGGCACUGAUGAAGGCUAUGCAUGAGCUCAUCUUCCCCUGAACUAAAGUGAUCUGGCUUGUGCCACUAUGCACAAGUGCCUAAUUUGCCAAUAAAAGAGACCAAUGUUGAGCUCCUUGCAUGAAAUCACUACUCUAGAGCACCAGCAAGCUACCAAGAGACGGGUUGAUAACCCUGACUUCCUUCCAUCAUGGAGGAGGCAGCAAUUUGACCUCAGUGAACAUGGAUUUACCCUUCCUGCAUAUAAUGUUUUUGCUGGCACGAUCAUCUGGAGACUUAACCUCUUAUUCACCAUCAUGAUCCCUUGCUUUGGGGAAAUCAAGCUGCCAUGUUAUCAUCAACAUGCAAUAUGACCUUUCCAGCUUGAACUGAGUGUUACCUGACUCAUCGAGGCAUAACAGAACAGAGUUCAAGGAACUGAUGUCUCCACUAAGAACCACUGAGGACCUGAGGCCUGACAACAGACAUGUUAGUGAACUUAGAAGUGGUUUUUCCCCAGUUGAUCCUUGAGAUGACUGAGUCCCUGCUGACACCUUGCUUAUAGUCUGGUGAGAGACCCUAAGACUGAGGAACUGAAUGCCAUAGCCGGCUUCCUGACCCACAGAAACUGGGAGAUACGUUUGCUGUUUUUUUUGUGUGUGUGUGUGUGUGUGUGUGUGUGAGGCAGAUUGGCUCCGAGCUAACAUCUGUGGCCAAUCUUCCUCUUUUUGCUUGACAAAGACUAUCGCUGAGCUAACAUCUGUGCCAAUCUUCCUCUACUUUGUGUGGGACACUGCCAUAGCGUGGCUUGACGAGUGGUGCCAUGUCCGUGCUGCGAACCCAGGGCCACCACCAAAGCAGAGGACCCAAACUUAACCACUACACCUGGCCCGUUUGCUGUUUUAAGCAACUCUUUUGGGUUCAUUUGUUAUGCAGCAAUAGAUCAAUUAUGCAUAUAUUAAAUAAGUGAAUAAAGUUGCUGAUAUAUUUUGAACAAUUUAAAUACGUGCUUUAGAAAUAUUCCCAGCUUCAGUUUUUAAAAAGAUCACUUUGGUGCCAAUAUGGACAAUUAUGUUGGGUGAGACUUCGGACAGGAGAGUACGAGGCUCACAUGACAGUAAUCUAGGUGUGAAGUGAAGACCUUGACAGUGAGAAUGGACAGAAGUUGGCUUCAAAGAGAUACUUAGGAGGUGCCUCUGUCAGACCUGGGCAACCAACAGGAUGUAAAACACUUUCCUUCUAUAAAAACAUGGGACUCUACUCCCACUGUAUUCCCU
ensembl:lncRNA